AUGAGAGGAUGAGAGCAGAGCAUCAGUGAGAGAGAGAGCGAGAGAGAGAGAGUAAAAUAUAAAAAAAGACAAUAGAUCUGGUUUGGAAAAAGUACAAAAAAACAUUUUUAAAAAAAAAAGAACCCUUGGGUUUCACGGAAAGAUUAAAGUAUUGGGGGGUGGGGGUACUACAAGUGAAAGAAGGGGUUGAAAGUGUAUAUUUACAUAUAGGGGAGGGAAAGUUUACAAAAUGGAACAAAAAAAUAAAAAUUUGGAAAAAGGAAAUAAAAUGUAAAUUUAUUGUUGGAAAAA